rnacentral:rRNA from 1 species
CCUACGGGUGACAGCAGUGAGGAAUAUUGGUCAAUGGACGAGAGUCUGAACCAGCCAAGUAGCGUGAAGGAUGACUGCCCUCUGGGUUGUAAACUUCUUUUAUCUGGGAAUAAAAUGUUCCACGUGUGGGAUUUUGUCUGUACCAUAUGAAUAAGGAUCGGCUAACUCCGUGCCAGCAGCCGCGGUAAUACGGAGGAUCCGAGCGUUAUCCGGAUUUAUUGGGUUUAAAGGGAGCGUAGGUGGAUUGUUAAGUCAGUUGUGAAAGUUUGCGGCUCAACCGUAAAAUUGCAGUUGAAACUGGCAGUCUUGAGUACAGUAGAGGUGGGCGGAAUGCGUGGUGUAGCGGUGAAAUGCUUAGAUAUCACGAAGAACUCCGAUUGCGAAGGCAGUUCACUGGACUGCAACUGACACUGAGGCUCGAAAGUGUGGGUAUCAAACAGGAUUAGAUACCCUUGUAGUC